GGGAGUAAUUUUGGCACAUCUAGAUCACAAGAGUUUUAAAAGUUGGCAGAAGAAUGUCAUCACAAGUUUUCUAGCAGAGCAAAAUAUUCAAGUCGGGAAGCCUUCCGACUUCUUUUAACAUGAGCACGUUCCUUCUCUCGUCUGAAUUACUAUAGCUUCUGCUAUUAUUUUCAUUCAUGAAAGUCUAUUCAUGAAUUAUCAUAUAUGUUCUCAAUUGCACGAUCGGUUUAUACAGAGUAAAUGUAUCCUGGAAGAAAUUUAACAGCAUUUGGUUGAAUUUUUUGAAGAAGAAAAGGUGAAGAAAUUGAAGCUCUGUUAUAGCCAAAGGAUUGGGGAAUUGCUUUGGCAGGAACUUUCUGUGAAUUGUGACAUGGAAACACUUGUAAGAAGAUUAAUGCACUAAAUAAACACAAAAGCAUCAUUACUCUUGGCUAUUUACCA